ACUACGGGAGGCAGCAGUGAGGAAUAUUGGGCAAUGGACGGAAGUCUGAACCAGCCAAGUCGCGUGAAGGACGAAGGUGAUAAGAAUUGUAAACUUCUUUUGUCAAGGGACAAAAUCAGGCUCGAGAGCCUGACCGCGGGUACUUGAAGAAAAAGCAUCGGCUAACUCCGUGCCAGCAGCCGCGGUAAUACGGAGGAUGCGAGCGUUAUCCGGAUUUAUUGGGUUUAAAGGGUGCGUAGGGGGGCUGUUAAGUCAGCGGUAAAAGUCCGGGGCUCAACCCCAGAUAGCCGUUGAAACUGGCUGUCUGGAGCUGUCGUGAGGUAGGCGGAAUGCGCAGUGUAGCGGUGAAAUGCUUAGAUAUUGCGAAGAACUCCGAUUGCGAAGGCAGCAUACCGGCG
rnacentral:rRNA from 1 species